CCCUGUCGCGACCCCAGAUGCGUCCCGUGGCUUAAGUGACUUCAGGCUCCCCAGCGACAGAAGCCCUCCUUGCCUUGUCCUUUCCGAAUGCACCUUUCUUUGCUCUUCUCCAGGUUGGUUCCUUCUGUCCUUAGGGCUUUCCGACCCACAGUCCUGAAGGACAAGUCAAUAGGUUAUCUCAAAACACUGGCUGCCAAGUCUUCAGGAUGUCUCGGGUUUGAGCAGAGGUGUGUUUGCCUGCCUCUGUGUUCAUGAGCAGCGCUAAGUGCUAUGAAGUACAGGGUGUGCUUUGAGGGACUUCGGCAGCGAGUUUGUGUGAAGUUGUCAUUGGGAAUAUCUGAGACCCAGUCGCUCUCUCUCGGGCCAUGCCUGUCAAACUCGGACAAACUGGAGUGGCAGCUUGUGAAGCGCUUUGGAAGGAACAAGACUACGAUCUUUAGGGGAAUGGAUCAAUGACAGAAUGUGAUUAAACACCUCUUAAAUAGAUGAAGAUAGCAUCAACAGAAAGACCAUCAUCAUCCUGCAGUGAGUGGAAUUUCAAAUUGCUGGAAUCCCAAAAAUGAAGAUUUUGGAUAUGUGGCAUAGCCUGAGUGGUAUUUUAAUAAAGUAUACUAAAUAAAAAACUGAGAACCUA